rnacentral:rRNA from 1 species
GCCAGACUCCUACGGGAGGCAGCAGUGGGGGAUAUUGCACAAUGGGGGGAACCCUGAUGCAGCGACGCCGCGUGGGUGAAGGAGUAUUUCGGUAUGUAAAGCCCUAUCGGCAGGGAAGAAGCAAGACGGUACCUGACUAAGAAGCCCCGGCUAACUACGUGCCAGCAGCCGCGGUAAUACGUAGGGGGCGAGCGUUAUCCGGAGUCACUGGGUGUAAAGGGAGCGUAGACGGCCAAGCAAGCCAGGGGUGAAAGCCCGGGGCCCAACCCCGGGACUGCCCUUGGAACUGCUUGGCUGGAGUGCGGGAGGGGCAGGCGGAAUUCCUGGUGUAGCGGUGAAAUGCGUAGAUAUCAGGAGGAACACCGGCGGCGAAGGCGGCCUGCUGGACUGUAACUGACGUUGAGGCACGAAAGUGUGGGGAGCAAACAGGAUUAGAUACCCCAGUA